rnacentral:rRNA from 1 species
UACGUAGGUGGCAAGCGUUGUCCGGAUUUACUGGGCGUAAAGGGAGCGUAGGCGGAUACUUAAGUGGGAUGUGAAAUACCUGGGCUUAACUUGGGUGCUGCAUUCCAAACUGGGUGUCUAGAGUGUUGGAGAGGAAAGUGGAAUUCCUAGUGUAGCGGUGAAAUGCGUAGAGAUUAGGAAGAACACCAGUGGCGAAGGCGACUUUCUGGACAAUAACUGACGCUGAGGCUCGAAAGCGUGGGGAGCAAACAGGAUUAGAUACCCUGGUAGUCCACGCCGUAAACGAUGGGUACUAGGUGUAGGUGUUAUCGACUCCUCCUGUUCCGCCGUUAACACAAUAAGUACCCCGCCUGGGGAGUACGGUCGCAAGAUUAAA